rnacentral:rRNA from 1 species
AUAAUGUGACUAUAUUCAGUUUCCGACCUAUCACCCUUAAACAGGAAGGUUGGGCCUACCGCGGGUGGACGGGUAACGGGGAACUAAGGAUUGAUUCCGUAGAGGGAACCUGAAAAACGGCUACCACAUCUAACGAAGGCAGCAGGCGCGCAAAUUACCCAAUCCUAAUACAGGGAGGUAGUGACAAGAAAUAACAAUACAGGACUUUUUGGUUUUGUAAUUGGAAUGAGUUAAGUAUAAACCCCUUUACAAGUAUCAAUUGGAGGGCAAGUCUGGUGCCAGCAGCCGCGGUAAUUCCAGCUCCAAUAGCGUAAUAUCGUAUA